UACGAAGGGUGCAAACGUUGCUCGGAAUUAUUGGGCGUAAAGCGCACGUAGGCGGCUUAGCAAGUCGGAAGUGAAAUCCCUCGGCUCAACCAAGGAAGUGCUUUCGAAACUGCUGAGCUUGAGUACGAAAAGGAGGAUCGCGGCAAUUCCCGGUGUAGAGGUAGAAAUUCGUAGAUAGUCGGGGAGGAACACCAGUGGCGAAGGCGGCGAUCUGGGUCGAUACUGACGCUGAGGUGCGAAAGCGUGGGGAGCAAACAGG
rnacentral:rRNA from 1 species